rnacentral:rRNA from 1 species
AUGAGCGCGGUAUUAAAAAAGGGCUCCUCUUUUACGUGGCAAAGUAUUAUGGCGGGAGUGGUUUCACUCAGGAAUGGCUAUAUAUGGAGAGUCGGAACAGGAGAAAAGAUUGACACAUGGAGAGAUGCAUGGAUCCCAAAUUGUGCAGAUAGGAAAAUUAUUACACCGAGAAGGGGGAAUCUCCUGACGAAAGUUUCUGAUCUUAUUAACCCAAUCACGAAUUGUUGGGAUGAAGAUUUGGUGAGACAAACUUUGUGGCCAAUUGAUGCUCGUAGAGUCCUAGCGAUCCCAAUCCCUAUGCACAAUAUGUCAGACUUUAUUGCAUGGAGUUAUACAAAAAUCGGUUUAUACACUGUACGAUCAGCGUAUGUGGAGGAAUGGAAAAAACAGCAUGGGAGGAAAUUGGAAUACUCGGAUGGCAUGGGUAGUAGUAAGGUCAAUCCUAUUUGGGGUAAGAUCUGGAAAUUAGCUUGUCCGGCGAAGGUUAAAAUUUUUAUUUGGCAGACGCUCCACGGGACUCUACCUUGUCGCGUUGCACUGGCCAAUAGACAUAUAAAAACUCAGCCAAUAUGCACAGCAUGUUUGGAUGGGCAAGAGGACACGAAACAUAUAUUAUUUCUGUGCCAGAAGGCAAAAGAAGUGUGGGAAUAUUUGGGAUUGUAUGAAGUGGUAAAAAAGUCCUGCAUCAUUGACCGUGCAGGAGAAGCAGUCCUUGAAUUCUUACUCCUUAUGCCUAAUCAUGAAUUACCUAUCUUGGGCUCCCGGAAUGCAGGGGAACUAAUCGCUAUAGCUGCUUGGUAUUUAUGGUGGAAUAGACGGAAACUAGUCCAUGAGGGUAAGUCUCAAUAG